GUAGUCAAUCUGCCCUAUGGACGUGGAUAACCUCGGGAAACUGAGAAUAAUCCGCGAUAGAUCAUAAUGCCUGGAACGGUUUAUGGUCCAAAUGAUUCGUCGCCAUAGGAUGGGACUGCGGCCUAUCAGCUUGUUGGUGAGGUAAUGGCCCACCAAGGCUAUUACAGGUACGGGCUCUGAGAGGAGAAGCCCGGAGAUGGGUACUGAGACACGGACCCAGGCCCUAUGGGGCGCAGCAGGCGAGAAACCUUUGCAAUGUGCGCAAGCACGACAAGGUUAAUCCGAGUGUUUCCUGCUAAAGGAAUCUUUUGUUAGUUCUAAAACCACUGAUGAAUAAGGGGUGGGCAAGUUCUGGUGUCAGCCGCCGCGGUAAAACCAGCACCUCAAGUGGUCAGGAGGAUUAUUGGGCCUAAAGCAUCCGUAGCCGGUUCUGUAAGUUUCCGGUUAAAUCCACUAGCUCAACUAAUGGGCUGCCGGAAAUACUGCAGAACUAGGGAGUGGGAGAGGUAGACGGUACUCGGGAGGAAGGGGUAAAAUCCUUUGAUCUCUUGAUGACCACCUGUGGCGAAGGCGGUCUACCAGAACACGUUCGACGGUGAGGGAUGAAAGCUGGGGGAGCAAACCGGAUUAGAUACCCGGGUAGUCCCAGCUGUAAACGAUGCAGACUCGGUGAUGCACUGGCUUUUGGCCAGUGCAGUGCCGCAGGGAAGCCGUUAAGUUUGCCGCCUGGGAAGUACGUACGCAAGUAUGAAAACUUAA
rnacentral:rRNA from 1 species